UGUAUAAUGGGUCAGCGACUUAUAUUCUGUAGCAAGGUUAACCGAAUAGGGGAGCCGAAGGGAAACCGAGUCUUAACUGGGCGUUAAGUUGCAGGGUAUAGACCCGAAACCCGGUGAUCUAGCCAUGGGCAGGUUGAAGGUUGGGUAACACUAACUGGAGGACCGAACCGACUAAUGUUGAAAAAUUAGCGGAUGACUUGUGGCUGGGGGUGAAAGGCCAAUCAAACCGGGAGAUAGCUGGUUCUCCCCGAAAGCUAUUUAGGUAGCGCCUCGUGAAUUCAUCUCCGGGGGUAGAGCACUGUUUCGGCAAGGGGGUCAUCCCGACUUACCAACCCGAUGCAAACUGCGAAUACCGGAGAAUGUUAUCACGGGAGACACACGGCGGGUGCUAACGUCCGUCGUGAAGAGGGAAACAACCCAGACCGCCAGCUAAGGUCCCAAAGUCAUGGUUAAGUGGGAAACGAUGUGGGAAGGCCCAGACAGCCAGGAUGUUGGCUUAGAAGCAGCCAUCAUUUAAAGAAAGCGUAAUAGCUCACUGGUCGAGUCGGCCUGCGCGGAAGAUGUAACGGGGCUAAACCAUGCACCGAAGCUGCGGCAGCGACGCUUAUGCGUUGUUGGGUAGGGGAGCGUUCUGUAAGCCUGCGAAGGUGUGCUGUGAGGCAUGCUGGAGGUAUCAGAAGUGCGAAUGCUGACAUAAGUAACGAUAAAGCGGGUGA
rnacentral:rRNA from 1 species